UAGUGUUGUCCUGUCGAACACGGA
rnacentral:miRNA from 1 species